rnacentral:lncRNA from 1 species
GUUGUAUAGGUUUGUUCGAUAUGUUGUGUCGAAUGUGAUCGCGUCUCCGAAUUGUUUGUACCUAGUCUUGUUCUUUCCAGUGCACCACAACAUUCGGACGAUUCUUCCUUCUUCGUCGACCUUGAAUCGUACCUCCAUCUCCCUAUCAGUCUCCUUCAUUUGGUCUAGUAUUUUUAUGGUUUUUUCUAGGUCAUCCCUUAUGUUUUCCUGGGCUAGUCUAGCACAAACAUUUCUAAUCACCUCCCUACGCACUGGAAUCCCACCGCUAGGAUUAGUCGUCCCUAGUAUGCUGCACACUCUACCAGUGGAGACGUUGUUCUCUCGAAGUUUCCUUAUAAAAUCCUUAGUCAGUGGGUCUAUCUCGCUGUGUGAGUUCCAUUGCUUCUUUUCACCGCAACUUUCGGAUAGCCUAUGGUUGUAUUCCGUUAUGCUCCAGCUUAUGUACCAGCUGUCAUCCUCCAGCCAUAGCAGCCUGAUCAUUGCUUUGCAACCCGUCCGGCAUGAAGCAGCCCUAGGAUUUGGAUUGUGCCCCUGCAUAAUUGAAAAAACAAUUAUUACUUUAUUUAUAUUUGCACUGCUGAAACCUCAUAUAUCAUACUGAUCCUUUCACUUAAAUAUUACCUCACAAGAGCAGCACAAGUCUUUUUUUGUAGUGUAAUCGUUGUCAUUAACUCUGCCUCUAGACGUUCGUAUGCCAAAGCCUGCUUCCCAAGAAUAUAGGUUGUAAAACUCCUUAGCCUCCUCGAAUGAGUUGAACUUUGUACCCUCGUAAGGGAAGAAAAUUGCCCCCCCCCUGUUUGUGUUGUCUUCAUUGCUUUAGUAAUGGCGCUUUCCUCAGUCGGUGAUAUCUUUGCAUCUGGCCCGGAACGCCCUCUCUUCCUGUCAUGUUAAUUACCAAAUUCGCCCAGAAUCAACAUUUGCACAAAACACGUCACCCGCCAUCCAUCGGUGCAUUAAUAAUCUUCACUCCUACUGCCUUUGCGAUAUGACCACACAUUAGGUGAUCAAAAAGCAUUGCUUAGCUUAUGCUUAAUUUUUGCAUAUUGUACUAUUGGAAUUUUUUUCUACACAUGCUAGGAGUACUACUCUUACACUACUUAAGGUUCUAAAUAAAUGACUAUAGAGUAAUUAAGCUGCGAGGUUCAUUCUGGGGACAUAGCAGACUAUAUAUCUGGUAUAAUUGAUCAACAAGUUAAAGUUACUGCAAAUAGCACUCUCAUACGUACACCACCUAAGUUGCACUACACCCAUCUAUAUGUUAGGUUACGCGGAUGGCUACUCGUUAGCACGAAAUAUAUAUACCGCGUAAAACAGGAUCACUUGCAUGUAGAUAAUCAUAGAUUAUACCUUCCCGACGGCGGCGCAGCGGAAGACUUGGCGGAACACGCGUAGUCGAUGUAGUCGACGUUGAGUAAGUAGUCGUACAAUACGAAUUAGUGCGCAAUGCAGCAGCACCUCUAUGAACGUCCACACGUACAGAGAGUAGAAUAGCGGUGACGUAGUGUGCUAGCGCCGACGUACGCGAACUGCAGGACCCGACAACCGCAGCCACGCAUACACGAACAGUGCAAUGUGGUUGGCGUGAAUGCCAACUCCUGGCGGCGGCAUGAGUCCUCUUGGCUUCUAGGUUAAUUAACCUGUGGCCGGUCAUUAGCUUAUAUAAUAAGCAUAGACAUGGGCCAGCCGUAUGGGCCACGUCGGGUUGCACUGGGCCAAAGGCUAAUUUCUCAUGGCUCUUGGGCAUUAACUAGCAAUCUCCCACUUGCCCUAGAGACAAUUAGUAUGGUCAGAUUGCAAUAUUAUGGACUCAAUCCAAUUGAUCCAUUUAGUCCUGUUGUUGUUCUUCUCUCCUUAAGUGUGUGACCCCGUAGGUUCGUGUAACCGACGGUCAUGAUCGAAAACCAUUUUCGCUCAAUAGUUAGCAUUGGCCUCUAGCAAGGCAUACUAACCCCCGAAAGUCUACGAAGAUCAUAUCUUACACAACCUAUAACACUCGUCAUUACUAUAUCCUUCUGCCACACGACACCUGGCCAUGUACAAGGCGAGUGUAGUGCUACCCUUGAUUCUUAGCCAUUUCUCGAUCUGAGCAGAACUUAUUAUAUCAAAAAACCAUCUGUCGAGGCAUGGCCAUGCACUUUCAGUUCCUGCACAUCGAGAGGGCCCAUCUUGACUCGACGCACCCUGCGACUUGCUUCAGAUCAAACCUGGAAGCUACUUUUAUUAUUACCCAGUUAUGGAGUAAUGUUUGGAAGCCCCAAAGUAUGUCUUACACAAUCCGGGACUCUACGUCAAUCUCAGGUCAGAGGACAUGAGUAUGUGUGUUAAUUACGAGACAAACCGAUAGCACAUAGUCGCAGUAUCUCAGACUGGGUCAAUCUGGCACUGUGUUCCCAACACAUGUCUGCAUUGUUGGUGCAAUAACCAUUAUUGCCAUGAUCCGUGAAACAUGAUCAUCCACCCAACACAUGCACCAACUUAUCUCUACGUCACAGUCCCACAUGACGGAUAAAAAUUGGGGAUCACAUUUAGUACGUUUUUCAUUUAAAUUAUGGAGUUUCACUAAUGAAUCACACAUUCAUUAAUCACAAAUAAUGAAAACGCCAUGGAACAUAUCACUGAAAUAAGCAAAUUACAAAACAUUGACAUGAGGUCAUCAUCCUAUGAUAACCUUUAGGUACACAUCAUAAGCUUUCCACACUCACACUACAGUUAUUCAUGCCAGCAUCUCAUGCCCAUAGCUCUUGUGUGUGUCUCAUGUUUUGAUUGUGGCAAUGGCUUAGUCAACAGAUCUGCCAUGUUCAGGUCAGUGUGCACCUUGCAUAUCUUAACAUCUCCUCGAUUAACAAUCUCUCAGAUUAGAUGAUAGCACCGGAGUAUGUGCUUGGACUUUUGGUGCGAUCUUGGCUCCUUUGCUUGUGCAAUAGCACCAUUAUUGUCACAAUAUAGGUCUAUUGGACUGGAGCAGCUAGGAACCACACCCAAUUCAGAAACAAAUUUUCUGAUCCAUACAGCUUCCUUUGCAGCUUCUGAAGCUGCAAUAUACUCGGCUUUUGUUGUUGAAUCUGCGACCGUCUCUUGCUUAGAACUUUUCCAACUCACUGCCCCACCAUUGAGACAAACGACAUAUCCUGACUAUGAUUGGCUAUCGUCUCUGUCAGUUUGGAAGCUAGCAUCAGUGUAACCAUUUACAAUGAGCUCUUCUGAACCUCCAUAGACUAGGAACAUAUCCUUAGUUCUUCGUAAGUACUUGAGGAUAUUUUUAACUACUACCCAGUGAGCAUCACCUGGGUUUGACUGGUACCUGCUCGUAACACUUAGAGCAUAUGAAACAUCUGGGCGUGUGCAUACCAUGGCGUACAUGAUAGAGCCAAUAGCCGAAGCAUAAGGUACUCUACUCAUCCUUUCUUGCUCAUCAGGUGUCGAGGCACACUGAGUAUCGCUCAAGGUUACACCAUAUGACAUAGGUACGAAUCCCCUUUUGGACUCAUUCAUAUUGAACCUAUUCAACACCUUGUCAAUAUACAUGCUUUGACUUAAUCCAAUUAAGCGUUUAGACCUAUCUCUAUAGAUCUUUAUACCCAAAAUGUAGGAUGCUUCUCCAAGGUCUUCCAUAGAGAAACUCUUUCUCAGUGAGGCCUUAAUAUCUUCCAUUAGUGGAAUAUUAUUCCCGAUCAGUAGUAUGUCAUCCACAUACAAGACCAGAAACACGAGUGCACUCCCACUGACUUUCUUGUAAACACAUGGCUCUUCUUCAUUUUUCGAGAAGCCAAACGAUUUCACUUCCUCAUCAAAACGAAGAUUCCAGCUCCGAGAUGCUUGUUUUAGCCCAUAUAUAGACUUCAAAAGCCUGCAAACUUUUCUAGCAUUUUGUUGGUCGACAAAACCUUCAGGUUGUGUCAUGUACACAUCCUCACUUAGGUUUCCAUUAAGGAAAGCCGUUUUGACGUCCAUUUGCCAAAUCUCAUAGUCGUAAUAUGCGGGAAUUGCUAGAAGGAUCCGAAUAGACUUUAGCAUAGUGACAGGGGAAAAAGUUUCAUCAUAAUCAACACCUUGAAUUUGACGAAAACCUUUUGCUACCAGUCAUGCUUUAUAGAUGUGAACAUUUCCAUCAGCGUCCAUCUUUUUCUUGAAAAUCCAUUUACACUCAAUGGCCCUCACGCCAUCAGGUGGAUCAACCAGGUUGCAAACCCGAUUGUCUUUCAUGGAAUCCAUUUCAGAUCUCAUGGCUUCAAGCCAUCUCUCGGACUCGGGACCCAUUACUGCCUCUGUGUAAGUGUUAGGCUCUUCGUUGUCCAACAACAAGAUGUCACGCGGACCUGUAGUCAUCAGUAAUGUGUACUUAGCAGGUGCGCGACGUGCUCGUAUUGAUCUUCGUGGUUGGGGUUCAGCAUGUUGGUCAGCAACUAUCGCCGGCUCUUCUUGCUGCACCUCCUCAUUAGUGGAAACUGGAACAUCUUCCAAUGUUUCUCGAACCUCUUCGAGUCGCACUGUGCUCCCACUAAUAUCUUUGGAGAGAAACUCUUUCUCAAGAAAGACCGCAUUUCGAGCAACAAACACUUUGUUCUCUUGACGGUUAUAAAAAUAAUAUCCUUUGGUGUCCCUGGGAUAUCCCACAAAUAUAAACUUAUCAGAUCUGGGCUCGAGCUUUGUUGGCGUCAAACGCUUAACAUAAGCAUCACAGCCCCAAACCUUCAAGAACGACAAACUAGGGCAUUUUCUAGUCCAUAUCUCAUAUGGUGUCUUCUCCACAGAUUUAGAUGGCACACGGUUUAGUGUAAACGCACCUGUCUCUAGCGCAUACCCCCAAAAAUACAAUGGAAGAUUAGUUUGGCUCACCAUUGACCUUACCAUGUCCAACAAGGUUCGGUUUCUCCGCUCAGACACACCAUUCCAUUGUGGCGUUCCAAGUGGAGUUAGUUGUGGAACAAUUCCACAAUUCUUUAGAUGAUCACUAAACUCAUGGCUCAAAUAUUCCCCACCACGAUCUGAUCGCAGGAAUUUAAUUGUCUUGCCAGUAUGAUUUUGUACUUCAUUUUGGAACUCUUUGAACUUUUUAAAUGAUUCUGCCUUGUUCCUCAUCAAAUAGACAUAGCCAUAUCUACUCAAGUCAUCGGUAAAGGUUAUAAAGUACUGAAAAUCCACCUCUCGCGGUUGAGUUCAUUGGGCCACAUACAUCUGUAUGUACUAGGCCCAACAACUCGCUUGCUCUCUCACUUUGUCCAACAAAAGGAGCUUUAGUCAUUUUUCCAAUUAGGCAUGACUCACAUGUCUCAAUUGAUUCAUAAUCAAAAGAGUUAAGAAGACCAUCCUUAUGGAGCCUCUCUAUGCGAUUCUUGCCUAUAUGGCCUAAGCGACAGUGCCACAAGUAAGUAGGAUUAAAAUCUUGUUUGCGAACUCUCUUAACAUUAACAUUAUCGAUUUCAUCUUCCUCAAGAUUAAGAACAUAAAGCCUGUUCACAACGGGACAUCUCCCAUAGUACAUGUCAUUCAUAAAGAUAGAACAACACUUGUUCUUUAUUACAAAUUCAAAACCAUCGUCCUCUAAACAUGAGGCGGAAAUAAUGUUCUUAUUCAAAGCAGGAACAAAAUAACAAUUAUUAAGUUCUAGCAAUAAUCCAGAAGGUAGCGACAAUGAAUAAGUGUCGACGGCCAACACAACAACCUUUGCUCCAUUCCCGACACGCAAAUCCACAUGAUCUCUUGCAAAGCGCCUAAUUAUUUUUAGCCCCUGCAACGAUUUGCAAGUGUGAAUCAUUGCACCAGUAUCAAAUACCCAUGCAUCAUUAGAACGUGUUGCGAGAUUAAUUUCAAUAACAUUAAUACCUUGAGCGGAGGUCGCACCUCCAUUCUUUUUCUUCUCUUCUAGGUACUUCUUGCAGUUCCUUGACCAAUGUCCUUUCACACCGCAGUGGAAACAAACAUCAUCAGAGGAGGGGCCACCAGCCUUUUUCUUAUUUUCUUUGGCCUUAGUCGCCUGCUUAGAAGUCUCACUUUCAGCAGGUUUCUUAGACUUGGCUGGGCGCUUACGCUUCUUACUCUUCUGAACUGUCAGCACAUGACCAGGAGCCUUCCUAAGGCUCACCUCUACCGACUUUAGCAUCCCAUGCAAUUCAGUCAGCGUCUUCUUUAAGCCAUUCAUGUGAUAGUUCAUUAUAAACGGCUCAAAGCUAGCUGGCAGAGACUGCAGUAUCACAUCGGUGGCGAGAUCAUCAUCGAGGGGAAAACCCAGUCUCUGCUAGCUCUCAAUGUAACCAAUCAUCUUGAUUAUAUGAGGGCUGACCGGAGCGCCUUCAGCAAGCUUGGUACCAAACAAGGACUUCAAGGUGUCAAACCUGUCAACCCUUGCUCUCGAACAUGCCACGCAGCCCCACGAUUAUAUCGUACGGGUUGGUGGUCUCAUAUUGCUUCUGCAGCUCAGAGUUCAUGCAAGCAAGCAUCAGACACUGCACAUUCACAGCAUCAUCUGUGUGCUUCACAUAAGCACGAUAGGCACUAGUGUUAUGCGCAACAUUUUGAGGCUCAUCCGGGUAAGGCGUAUCAAGAACUUACUCUUUCUUUUCUUGCCUGAGAACAAUUCUCAAGUUUCGGUUCCAAUCAACAAAAUUAGUUCCAUUUAGCUUUUCCUUUUCUAGGAUCGAUCGCAAGUUGAAAACCGAAUGGGUCGACAUUUUCUACAACAAUAGAGAUAUGCAACGGUUAGCACUACUUUCAUUAAAACAUUUUUAAUAAAAGAUAACCCCACUAUGUUUUGCUAACGUCCCCCGACAUUGCAUAGUGGGACGAGAUCCCACGUUUCCUAUGAAACUAGUGAGCUUUGGCAUCACUGCUAGCAUCAUAGUGAACUGAGUAGGCAACCCUUGUCAAUCGCAUCUAAUGCGACUCUCGUUCGUUGGUUGACAUCAUAUGUCUCGGCUACCAAUGCUACGCCCCGAAACCCAAGUCUGACUUGAUAGUUUCGUCAAGUAAACCAACACUAUGUUGUGGUGUCCGACACCACCCAAUAGAUCAAAGUAGAAGAUGACGCCCUGCUUUAGCAGACCCAUCAUCUACUAACAAGACCCAAAAGGUGCAGCUGUUGGAAGGGCAUAAAAACUUAAUUUUUCUGAGGGAAUUUCAUACUCAUCACAGACAAUGUAUAAAUAUGAUAGUCACAGAUAAUCAUAUUAUUGUGAUAGUAUGGCCUCUCUUCGUUUCACGAAAAUCAGCGCGUCCAGACGAUCGCCAGCAACGACUCAAAGAUGCCAACGCUUUCUUCCGGAUGAUGUGCUUGCCGAGUCAACUUUCUUCAUGUCGAUGUAUUACAAAAUUUAAAUUUGCCUAUUACAUGCUAAUGGCAAAAUAAAUUGUAAAAUACAUCACAUGAUCACUCGACAAGACGGCACGCAGGCCGUAUACAAUAAACCAAUAGCCUCAACUCAGCUGUAAUAAAUAGCGACAUGCAGGCCACAACAAAUAUUACACAUAGAUCAUCACAUAUGAUUUUGAGGCCAUACCAUCACACCAUUCUCUGCAAAAACGAGUUAGACGUUUCUACGAACGACGGUACUGGUAUUUUUCUUAACAAUGCAAUUGACUCCGUCAGCCGAUGACGGAUAGAAUAGAUUUUUUUUACAUGCUGCUAACAAUUAACAGACAUGGCGUUCUAGUCGUACAGCCAUACAUGUUGUGUAUCAAUUUGUUUCGCUACAUGAAUUCACAACCUCGUGGACAUCCGCACGACGCUCGCGCGCCGUCGUACAGACGGCCGGUUAGCCAGACAUAUAGUGAGGAUGCAAAAACAGAGUAAAACAAUUUAAUACAAACAUAAUGUUGUCGAUUAAAACGAUCUAUUCUACAGCCAAAUGCGUUAAAAUAAUCUAGAUCAAAAACUACGCAAGCUAGGCUCUAGAUACCACUGUUAGGUUACGCGGAUGGCUACUCGUUAGCACGAAAUAUAUAUACCGCGUAAAACAGGAUCACUUGCAUGUAGAUAAUCAUAGAUUAUACCUUCCCGACGGUGGCGCAGGGGAAGACUUGGCGGAACACGCGUAGUCGAUGUAGUCGACGUCGAGAAAGUAGUCGUACAGUACGAAUUAGUGCGCAACGCAGCAGCACCUCUACGAACGUCCACAAGUAGUAGAACAGCGGCGACGUAGUGUGCUAGCGCCGACGUACGCGAACUGUAGGACCCGACAGCCGCAGCCACGCAUACACGAACAGUGCAACGUGGUUGGCGUGAAUGCUAACUCCUGGCGGCAGCGUGAGUCCUCUUGGCUUCUAGGUUAAUUAACCUGUGGCCGGUCAUUAGCUUAUAUAAUAAGCAUAGACAUGGGCCAGCCGUAUGGGCCACGUCGGGUUGCACUGGGCCAAAGGCUAAUUUUUCAUGGCUCUUGGGCAUUAACUAGCACUAUAAUCCAGUAUUCUUAGACGUACCUUUUUUUGCACGCAAACGAGGUUAUCAACGGACCUCCUUCUGACCCUAUGUUGAUGGUUCUUAAGUAUCAAUUUUAAUUAUUAAAUAAACAAGGGAAAGGACCAAUAUACAAACAACACCUAGAAUUAGGGUUUGAUCUGACAGAAUUCCACGAGUUUUGUUGUUUAUCUAUUUCUGCAGAGGAUUAUCAGGAAAUAAGGAAGAAAGGCCCACAUGUCGGGACUACAUAGAGAUAUUAACGCACCGCGCAAUUUUCUACCAUCUAGAAGACUCCAGAAGCCACGGGAACGAACGGGAAGGCGAUCGGGCCCGGGGGCAGGGCGCCCGCCCUCCCCCCUAGGGCGCCCGCCCUGGAGUUGUGACCAAUCCCGUCCAACUUCGCGGAUUACGCUCCACCGACCUAAAGGAUCAAGGAUAACCGUUCAAUCAAUGUCGGUUUGAUCCGACGGCCCACGUUCACCUGAGGGGACUAUAUAAGCAGACCUCCUGGCCCCUGGAGGAGAUAGAAGUUCAUCAUAGAGUUGAGAGGAGCCCUCGAAGGAUAACCUCUCCUCUAAAUAGACUUAGAGCUUAGCAUCUAAUGUGAGUAGAUUAGAUCUACUAGAUUGAGAGAGAUAGAGUGGAGGUGUAGAUCGGAGGAAGCCCAGCCUGUCGGUGUCUACUCCGAGGUUGUACCUGCGGGAUCAAGUUCUCCUAACCCGAAGCUUGCUCCUAGGAUUCUUCAGUAAUUCGACUUCUAAAUACUAGUAAGUUCUUGUUUUAUUGUUCUUUGGUUUAUGAGUUUACUUUAAUCUCUUCGCGUAGAGUUUAGAGUAAUCAUCUCUAGUGUAGACGUGGUGUUUGGGCUCGGAUACUCAUAGAUAUUCCCUGAUUAGCUGGACCGUGGUAGUAGCGAGGAACGUGACAUUUCCGAGCUACCUUUGCAGACCAUAUCUCGUUAGCAGGACGGAUAGGGUUUAUAGGUGCGGGUUGAACAUCCUCUAUAGUGUCUAGAUUCUGUGAGCCUCCCCAAUAGAAUAGUAGAUUAUCCUUACCAAGGUUAGAACGAGACUACAGUUGCAGUUUUCUCUAUAUAUCACUCACAUCAAGAAACAUUCUUUGUAGCCUAAAGGUUGGUAGUAAUAGACCGGGUUAGUCAGAUGCACUCUUUCUUCUAGUGGUAAAAAUAUAAAUACGAUACUCUGGAUAACCUCCCGGGUGAAGUGCUCACCGAUAUCCGUGCGCUUGUGGAUCAAUUCCUUAUUGCGUUCCCAAAUAUCAACACCCUACCGCAACAGCAGACUCUUUAUUGUUUCUGUCGAAUGCCCCGGUUGCUAUGAAAGUCGUCGCUGGCGCGGCCAGACCUUCGCCGCUUGGUGUAGCUAGUACUCCCUCUCGCUCCAUCCGUCUGAUUAUCUGUGCGUUUUUGGAAUACACUCCUCAUUUUUCUGAUUCCUCCUCUGGCGAUAAUGAUGUUUUCAAUGAGGGAAAAAAUCCACUAACCUACGCUUGGCUGGGCACGCAGCUGCCAGCGAGCACCGACGCGGCACCUCCAGUUGUAUCUGCCCCUUGCUCGCCGGUAGUUGCAUUAAUCGUCGCCAUGGAUACUGCUCCUCCUUACCCAACCAUAGAUAAAAACUCUUUCGGUGGUCCUUCUUAAGAAGCCCUUACUUCUAAAUAUGCAGCGACAUAGCUUAUCCCACAAGCCAGCUCGAAGAAAGCAUUUAUUGUCCCCAUACUCAUCGACCAUGGUGGCGUGCCAUACACAUUGGUGCCACGCUGUCGCUGAUUAUGUCAUAAGCCGGCCUUUCACACUGUUACAAGCCUCAAACACCUUUCUUGCAUCUCCACGCUACAGUGACCUCACCACCGUCUGAUCAAGGUGGGUACCUAACAUCGGUUGCAAAAAAUUCACGUUGGCCGUGGCCAUGCCCCAAGUGACGUCGCUGGUGUGGACCAUGCGCAUGCUGGACCGGCAGAUCACCAUGGAUAGGCUCAUAUGGGCAGACUCAGCGGACGGUGACGCGGACGUGUUCCUGGAGGCAGUAAUGACCUCAUCGGCACUGACGCACCGUGCAGGAGAUGGACACCGCCGGGACCAACCGCGGCCUACUCGACUGCGCUGACGAGCUGCUGAGUCGGUGCAUCGCUCGGCUGGAGGAUGAGUUCCGGAUCCGGGCGCUCAGCGAGCGCCCCGACGAUGCGGCGCCUCAGGUGCCAGGUGGGUUUGGGUACGAGGAGAGUGAGGAGAAGUGAAAGGUCCUUAUUUGGUUUUGGUAAUUGAGUGACAACUUAGGUGGACUAAUAGUGUUUAUGUGAGAUACACAGGAGAUUAGUCCACAGGUGAUUAUGUGAUGAUGAAGGAGCUCAUUGCAUAUGAUACAUGACAUGGAGUCAUGUGACCAAGGUGGAGAAGAUCAAGAUGAGGCUUGGCUUGAUGGACCGGUUGCAAGAGUGAAGGGCAAGUCGGAGGCUUUGAAGCGAGCGACCGCGUGUGACGGUGAAGCUUGAGCAAGACUUGGCGCCGAUGGACCGAGGCAAUGGUGAAGAGCAAGUGAGGCCAAGAUCGAUGAACCAAUACGGUCACGUGAUGAUAUGAAGUGGAUCAUAUCAUUUGGUGAUUGGUUGGUGCAUGUGUUGCAUCAAUAUUUGAGGAGAUGGAAUGGAAAGCGCAAGGCAAAGGUAUAACCUAGGGCUUUUCCAUUUCACUGGUCGUAGGUGUGUAGAGAAGUUUAUGGCCGGAUUUAAGAUAGAUGGCCACACUAUCAAGAGGGGCAAACUUGUUGCAUAUCGGUCAUCUAGUGCCACUUGAGCGAUCUAACUUUGCAUACGUGUUAGGAUCGAGUGGCGUGUCAAGUUUGAGAGGCUAACUCCUUUGAGAAAAUGUUUGUGAAAUGCUAACACACAUGCACAUGGUGUCGGCGCUUUUGAGAAAAUUAAGUGUAUAUUUUCUAUUGCGCCGGUGGGAAAUUUGGGGAAGUUGCGGGAGUAUUUCUCACCAAGAAACACUCAUCGGACGCUGGUGUUGGUAGCACCGGACGCUGGACCAGAGAGUCCGGUGCACUGUCAGUCGCUGGCGUAGGCAUAGAGUGCGCACCAGAUGCUAGCACCGGACGCGGACAGGACACUGUUCGCGCGUCUGGUGGUGCGUGACGUUAGUGAGUGUUUCUGACUACAGAGCACCAGACGCUCAGGGUGCGUCCGGUGGCUCAAGUCCGGUGACCCUGCGAGUUUGUGAAGCUCUCUGUGCAUGGGUCCGGUGUGCACCGGACACGUCCGGUGUGCAGCAGUAGAGCGUUCGGUGUGGCUGGUGCAGGCACGCGCGUGUGUUAGCCGUUGGCGGUAACGGUCGAGUUCAAACGGCUAGUGACACGUGGCUGACGCCUGAGCACCGGACGCUGGGAGUUGAGCGUCCGGUGCUACCUGCAAUGAGUCCGGUGCUCACGACUUUUGCCCAGUGAAGGGACAACGGCUAGUUUAGCCCUUGAGGCUAUAAAUAGAAGUGGUGGCUGGCCUUGGCUUGCGCUGAGCACCCUUGGGACUUAGUGUCCAUGCUUGGGGAGUGCUAGUAAAGCCUCUAACUCACAUAUGCUCGAUAGUGAUCAUCCGAUUGUGUGAGUGAGCGAUUCUAGUGCGUUGCAUUGAGAGAUUGCAUCGAGUGUCACUAGGUGUUCAUGUUGCAAGCCGAUGGUGCUUAUUACUCUUGGAGGUUGCCACCUCCUAGACGGCUUGGUGGCUUGUGACUCCAUCGAAGCACACAAGGAGAUUGUGCGGUGCUCCGAAUAAGAGAUUGUGAGGGGUACGGUGCUCACCCCGCGGGGAUCGCGAAGAGCAACUCUAGUUGAGCGAGACGUGAAGAGCGACAAGUGGUCUGGCUGGGUCAAGUGCUAGAGCUUAUGGUAAGCACUCCACGUGGGAGAGUGUGACUUGCGGGUCACCACUAGCAAGAGGACCGGCGGCAACCUUGGAGCUUGUCUCAACAGGGACGUAGCUUGGUGGCAACUAAGUGAACCUCGGGAGAAAAUCAUCGUGUCAACUUUGUUGUUCCCGUUGGUUUGCAAGUCCCUAACACAAGCUUGUAUUUACAUUCAUAUGUUUGUACUUGUGUAGUUGCUCUUGUAAUUAGUUAGCUUGUGUAGCUUGCUAGUUACCUUCUUGCUUGUGUAGCUAGAAGUAGUUUCCCUUGCAUGACUAAUUUGGUUUGUGUAACCUUGUUAGUCACAUUGCUUAGUUUGUGUAGCUAAGUAAUUUGCGCUCUCUAAUUUGGCAUUGGUUGCCUUGUUAUUGAGCAUUGCUAGUGAGCUUAGGAGCUUUGUGCUUUUGCUUACUAGUUGUGUAGGAGCUCUCCUAGUUUGCAAAGUACUAGUGGCAUAGGUUUGUGUGACCUUGCUCCUAGAAUUGGUUAGGUGAGCUCUUGCUAAGGUAGCACCUUGUUUGCUUGUUUAGGAUCUUUUACAAGGUACUAAAGAACUUAGAUAGAGGGGUGUAGUCUUAGCUAGACCGAUAGUUUUGAUUCCGCAUUUGUUUCGGUUAGCCGGCACGAUAAGUUUUAGAAAGGACUAUUCACCCUCCCUCUAGUCAGCCAUCUCGACCCUUCAAGAAGGAUUGUUUGGAUGACGGCUUUGGUGACGAGCCAUUCCCAAUCGCGAGGCCGGUCUCUGACUUCGACAUCAUCAUCGAUGCUCUCCCGUGGGGUUCGGUCUCAUGUUCACGGCUCAUGGGAGGCCCAUGGUCAAACUAGAGCUCCCAACCCACGUCGGGUGAGAUAGUUGAGUGGCCCAUCAAAGUCCAGCCUAGAAGAAAAGACAGGAGGCCCAGUGCUAUCUGUUGGUCUAGUAUGCGGCUACACCUGUAUAAAUACCUUAUAUUUUUCUACAACUAAAAAGACCCGGAGGUCAUCAUCAGCCCACCCUAAUCGCCCCCUCGCUCUAAUCGCCCCCCCCCAUCCCCCCUCCCGCGGUAAUCGCCCCCGCACCCUCGGUCGCUGCGGUUAGCGCCUCUGCUCCCCUCAGUCGCCCCCCUCUGAGCUCCAAUCCUCCAGGAAAUCAUGACUCUUGCGCCCUUGUUGUCUGUGUCGCCUAGCUCUGCAGCUCCCCACGCGAGGCUCUGGGGCACCAUCGCUACCCACGCCGUCGCCCUCUCCGUUGGGCGCGCGCCGCGCAGCUGAGAGCAGAGAGAAACUAUGGCCCCUGCCCCUGUGCCUUUGCCCUUGCCGUCACUCAGAUCCGCAGCUCACACCGCGAGGCCCUGCUUCACUGCAAGCUCAUCGAGGACUCUCCUUCGGUACGGGCGAGCUGCGGCGGCGUCCGUCCCUGGCAUGUCGACGCUUGGACAGGAUCGGAGUGAAAGGAUCAAGAUGCCCAAGAGGGGGGUGAAUUGGGCUUCUCUAAAAAUUUAAGCAACCGAUAAGCUCCAAUUCAACCCCUUGUGCCUAGUGUGAUAUAGAGAGCUACCAGAUAAAAGUUUUGCAACCUAGUUCCAAUCCUAUUCUAGCAUGGCAAUUCUAAAAAUAUAAAUGCUCAAAGUAAAUGCUAGAAAGUAAGGGAGUAGAGCAAGAGGAACGCGGCGAUGAUUUGCCGAGGUAUCGGAGAGUCGCCACUCCCCACUAGUCCUCGUUGGAGCACCCGCGCAAGGGUCUUGCUCCCCCUUCGUCCGUGCAAGGACCAAGUGCUCUCUACGGUCUGAUUCUUCGACACUCCGUCACGGUGAAUCGCCCACAACCGCUCACAAGCUUGACACGAGCCACCCACAAGAACUUCGGGCAGUCUUCGUGCCUCCAAUCACCACCGAACCGUCUAGGUGAUGGCGAUGACCAAGAGUAACAAGCAAUGAACUCUCACUUGACCCAAACAAGGCACUAGAGAGUGGUGGAUGCACACUUGACUCUUGGAACUCAACUAGAGAAGGAUUCACUCAAGGAAUCUCUCAAUUCACAAUCCUCUCUAGGCUCUUGCUUCUCUCUUGCACCAUAAGGUGAUUCUCAACUGAUCAAAUGGGCAAGAGACCUCCCAUGGAUGAGGUGGAGGAGUAUAAAUACUCCCUAUCAAGUCCAAGGGCCGGCCAACCGUUUUACACUGAAAAAUGGGAGCACCAGACGCUUGUAAUGUUGCACCGGAUGCACUACACCGAGCGUCCGGUGACACAUUAACGACUAACUAUAUUCUCUCUAACAUAGCACUGGACGCACCCUCAGUGGGUCCGGUGUCACCGUCCGGUGUGAGGGGAAAUUUACACCCUCUCUGGGUAUGAGACCGGACGCUCUUCGGCGAGUUUGGUGCUAGCGUCCGGUGCCCUGGUCUACUUCAGACCUCCCUGGGUAUGGGACUGGACGCUCUCCAGUGAGUCCGGUGUGAGCGUCCGGUGCUUAACCCUAGGCACCCAGUCACUCUGACUCAAGUCAUCCUCACCGGAUGCACUCACAUAGCGUCCAGUGCAGCAUCCGGUGCCUACCUAGGCACCCAAACUUCAUCGAAACGCGAUCUUUUCAAAAUGAAGUUUGUUCCUCUCAAUCUAGGGACUUUCUAAGAGCUGCCUAGUGCUAGGUUUACCAAGUGUGCACCACACCUAAACCUAAAGCCUUGCCUAGGUCAAGCUACCCAUUCAAUGCCCCUCUUAAUAGUAGGGCCAAAGGAAAACAAAGUCCUAAACUACUCUAAGUGUCCUUCUUCACCAAAUGGCACUUAGACUAGUCUAGUUCCGACGAUGUCCAUCCAUCCUUUGAAAACCCUAAUGAUUUCCACCAUUAAGUUGGUAUGAAUGAUCUAGUCCAUCGAUCACCAUUAGCAUGACCUAACACUAAUGACUUUAUCUCUACAAAACACACGUUAGUCAUAGUAAUCAACAUUGUCAUUAAUCACCAAAACUCAUUAGGGGCCUAGGUGCUUUUCACGGAGGUCCAGCUUCGCCAUCGGCAUCCCCGUCUGCCUGCUCCGGAGCGCUCCUUCGAACAACCUGCUUGUCGUGGGGCUACCCAUGUCCAAGGAGGACGACCUCGACGCCACCGCCUAAGUUAUUGGGGACCUCGCUGCCAUGCUACCCGAUGUAGGCGCCGCCAGGGUGAGUGAUUGGUCUGCUUCAGUUUGAUUGAAAUUAUGUGUGUAUUGAUUUGAAUCACUAACUGAAUCAAUUUUGUUUUACCCCAUCUGUGUGUGAACAUUGAAUCCUUGAUCGAAUGUUUUCAUUACAAGCAUUGCUAUGUCAUUUCAUUGGCUGUCAUAGCUCACUAUCAAUGUUGAUUCUUUCCUAUCUGCUCAUUCCUUUAAAUCUGUACAUGUCCUUUGUCUACUAUUGUGGAUCCCUUCUUUUUUCCAGUCACAUUAUCUAGGGAUGGUUCUACAUGUUUCUUGUGAAGGCAGUGUGGUGUAUUCGUUUUAUCACUGAGAAAGGAUAAAGACAACCGAGCAGAGAGCCAAAGCCUUGCAAACAUGGACUAGGAUGCAGUAACACUUCCUGCAGCGAGUCUUUCCCUGCUACACAAUUUCCUAGAAUUUGGUCUCUAAAUGCGACAUUGUUACUUGUCUUAGUCAUUCGAGGCCAAUUUUGCCUCAGAUGCCUCAUCUCUUUUUGUCCAGUUUUCCUUUUUGCAUCGGAUGGGAUGGAAAACCUAGGGGCGCCGACUUGUUCGAUUGAGUUUAUCAGUCAGACAACGCUAUUUUUCAACUACAUUAUUUUUAUUUCACAAUAAAUCAACAUGAGGCAAGCCGGAGAAACCAUCAGCUCUCUGAAUCUAGAGUGGUCCAAUUGAGUUAGUAGUUGAAGCUCAAGGAAGGCACGCCUUCUCUGUGCGCUAAUUGUGAUUGCGAUUGAUUGGCGGUUGCCAGUAUCUUGGCCAAGUCACUGAUUGGCUCUUGGAAAUCUGAUUUGGGUUCUGCUUCCUUCUAACAAAAGCAAAGAGAGACACGACAGAACAAUUCAAAUUUAGAUGAACAACAUUUGUACAAGUGUUAACAAUUCAAAUUUAGAUGAACAACAUUCAGUUACCCUUUGCAUACUUUAAUUGUUCUGAUAAUAAUCUAAAAUGCAAGUGCAUCAAUGUUAAUUAUUGUUUCUAUUUUCAUGGCAUCAUAAACCACAAGUUUCUUACAUUUGUACAAGUGUUAUAUUUCUUACAUUGGUGUCCUUUAUUAUUGACAUUGUCGUAUCCAUUUGUACUUCAGGUAAAAGAGGACGUGGUGUUCUGAAACUCACCAUCCAGCAUAGGAUUAUAAGUAUUCUUCAGUUCUAAAAUUUCUCUUUAUAGUUUAUUUCAGCAAAGGAAUAUGUACAAUUCAGUUCAGGAAUAUGUCCUUAGUAAAAAUUUCUGUAUAAAAUUAGUUUUUUUACCACAAUAUGAUAAUUUGUCUCACGUUGAGCUACAUUUGUCUAUUACUCCACCUGGUGUAGGCCAUCAAACACUAUUCUUCUCCGUCUCCAUGUCCCCUUCCUCUAGUCCAGGUAUUCCACAAAGACAUUGCGCAAUCUCUCUUGUUAUCAUUAUUCCACAAAGAGUUGUGGUAGGAUGGAUGUGAUUUGAGAUACUCAGUUAUAUGUCUUGUUCUUGUUCUAGAGUUACUUGCUCAUUGUUUAUUGGAUCUACAAAAAAUGGCUCCUAUAUGUCCACAAUGUCCAGUAUGGCAUAUAUGAAAUGAACUCAGCUCUCAGUUAUAUAAAAUUGCAAGUUGAAUGACUUUGCGACCUGCAGUUCUGUGUGCUUUGAUUGAUUUCCAUGUGCUGAUUUGUCAACCUCUUAUAAUUUUGUAUACUUUAAUAAUUGAAGAAGCAGUACGAUCAUGGUUUUUUUGAAGAAGCAGUUCUGUGUGCAACCUGCAUUUCUGUGUGCUUUGAAGAAGAGGAUCAUAGUUUUGAUUCUAAAGGAGGGAGAACAUAGAUUCAAGAAAAUAAGAAAAUAGAAAUAUAUAGUCCCCUCUGAAGGCUGUUUUUUUUUCAUAGUUUUCAUUUUGAAGAAGCAGUACGAUCAUGCUAAUUCAAGAAAAUAAGAAAAUAGAAAUCCCAAAUAUUACUAUUGUUAAUAUUACAGGGAGGAGUAUAUGAAAGGAAUUCUGCUCCCAGUUAUAUAAAACUGCAAAUUGGGUGACCUUGCCACCUGCAGUUUUGUGUGCUCUGAUAGAUUUCCAUGUGGUGGUUUCAGUUAGUAAAAAGGACAUAAGGCUCGAUGGCGUGCAAUGUCUCAAGAGAAAAAGGACAAAAAAAUAAAAAACUUUGAGAAACAUAUAAAAGAAGAAAGGAACAACAACUAUGUAUCGAAACUGUCAAUGGUUAUAUAGUAGAAAUAUUGGUGAAUAAUAAUAUAGAUAUUACUGUGUUGAGUACAGACUUCUUGUUCCAUUGUUUAGGGUGCUAGGAAGAACUAGAGUGCCAUGUCUUUGUGAUUCCAUCGGCACAUCAAUAUUUUUGCUAAGGUGAACCAUCAAGGUAAACAUGCUCCAUUCUCCUAUGCUUUAUCUAUUAACUUUUAUAUAUGUCUUGUAUACAUUGAUUUUAGAAAAUGAGAAUGACCUGAUUAUGUAGCACUAUAUUGCCGUUAUUUUCUCCAAUUUCCUCCUUUUGUAUGAUUUAAAUAAAUGAUUCAUUUAAUUGCUCUUAUUAUGGUUGGCGGUUGCACAAUAUGUGUGUUAGAUCGUCUCCCUAUGGAAGGCAGCCGAUGACAGCGAGAGUGGAAUGUGUGUGAUGUUGCUACAUAUGUAUUUUAUUCUCGUAGCAACGCACGGACACUUAACUAGUAGAAAAAAAACUCGCAUAAAACUUCCACUCGAUUGAACCUUGUAUAGCUCAGUUGGUAAAAGAAUGUUUCAUCAAUACCCC